rnacentral:rRNA from 1 species
UGAAGCGUAUACCAAAGUUGUUGCAGUUAAAACGCUCGUAGUCGGAAUUUGGCAGUUCCGGAUGUGUGCACGUCGUGUGCGCACUUCGCGGGGAUUGCUUUUGUGGUCUUGCGUAGGAUGAGGCACUUUUAUUAGUGAACGUCCUCACGCAACCACUUUUUACUGUGAGAAAAUCAGAGUGCUCAAAGCAGGCAUCUGCCGUGAAUGUAUUAGCAUGGAAUAAUAGAAUAGGACUUGGUUCUAUUUUGUUGGUUUGUUGGGACUGAGUAAUGAUUAAGAGGGACAGUUGGGGGCAUUUGUAUUUCGGUGCUAGAGGUGAAAUUCUUAGAUUACCGAAAGACAAACUGCUGCGAAAGCGUCUGCCAAGGAUGUUUUCAUUGA